GGCACUUUUUGUAGCCAAGGAUGACUUGCCUAUGCUCUCAAGCAUAAGAGAGCUUACUUCCUUUUGGUAUUCUUCAGUUUCUAAGUGAGUCUUCCUUGGCUACUUAUUAUGCUUC
rnacentral:pre_miRNA from 1 species